rnacentral:rRNA from 1 species
AGAGUUUGAUCCUGGCUCAGAACGAACGCUGGCGGCAGGCUUAACACAUGCAAGUCGAACGGGCGUAGCAAUACGUCAGUGGCAGACGGGUGAGUAACGCGUGGGAAUCUACCCAGUUCUACGGAACAACUCAGGGAAACUUGAGCUAAUACCGUAUACGCCCCCCUUUGGAGACAUUGGGGGGGAAAGAUUUAUCGGAAUUGGAUGAGCCCGCGUUGGAUUAGCUAGUUGGUGAGGUAAUGGCUCACCAAGGCGACGAUCCAUAGCUGGUCUGAGAGGAUGAUCAGCCACAUUGGGACUGAGACACGGCCCAAACUCCUACGGGAGGCAGCAGUGGGGAAUAUUGGACAAUGGGCGAAAGCCUGAUCCAGCCAUGCCGCGUGAGUGAUGACGGCCUUAGGGUUGUAAAGCUCUUUCACCGGUGAAGAUAAUGACGGUAACCGAGAAGAAGC